UAAGAAAAAUCUUUUAUGAUGCUUGAUUUGAAUAUUUAUUGAAAUUGAAUUUGGUAUGUGGAUUAUAUAUAAAGUGGUAUAUUAGGAUGAAUGCAUAUUUGGAGAUAUUGCAAAGAAGUCUAUUUCUUAUUGGUAAAAUUGAUUUUGAGAUUGUAGGAUAUUCAUCGUAUUGGAAGCUUUAAUCAUCAUCCUUGGAUCUAAAUAAUAGAUCUUAUUAUGUCUCUUGGAGACUACAUGAUG
rnacentral:lncRNA from 1 species